ensembl:lncRNA
UGCCAUCCAACCAUCUAAUCCUCUGCCAUCCCUUUCUCCUCCUGCCUUCAGUCUUUCCCAGCAUCAGGGUCUUUUCCAAUGAGUCAACUCUUCGCAUGAGGCGGCCAAAGUACUGGAGCUUCAGCUUCAGCAUCAGGCAGUCUGUCCCCUAACUAUAUAAUCUGCCUAGGCUCUGGGGAAAGCUAAACAUUAUCUCAGAUGAUUGUCUGCGUUCAGUUCCUAGAAUUACCCUCAGCAUGGCCCAGCUGUGACCUUCCGGCAGAGGGAAGUGAUUGCUAUCUUGUCUGAUGAACUUCCUCAAUCCUGGGGAGAUCUUGGGAAGGAUGAAAGGAGAGAACAGGGUGGCAUGCCUGUCAUCACAGUGGCAACUGCCAACUCCUGGAAGUAGAUAAAUGAGAUGACCUCUGGCAAAUAAAGGAAUACGAGAAGGCUGAAAGGGAGAGGUGUAUUGAAAUAGGAUUCUUAGCUUUCCUCCACGGUGGCCAAUGUUGAUCUAGUGGCAGGGAUGAGAACUUGAGACAAAUCUUUCUUUUCAUUGAAAUGUCUGAGCCCUACUUCCUGCCUUCACUGUGUGGGUUCACUCUUAUGCCAGGAGGUGCCUUCCCUUCCCUUUCUUCCACUAGGUGGAGAGAAGAGCAGUGGGAUGAGCUAGGUCACUCCUGAAGGAAGUACCCUGCCUCCUCCAUAGCAAAGGCAUUACGUCUCUGGAUGGAUAGAAUGGUAUCUAAGGAGGUGAGAAAGGAGAUGUAGACAGCUGCAGUUGCUCCCCAUAUUCCCCUCUGACACACAUUUGUGUAAGUGCUGAUGAUGAGUCAUGAAACGGGGAGUGGGGAACAGUUCAAGCGCACGUCUGUGACUUCCUGCGUUAGCUGAGUGAUCAAGUCUGAUGUGCCUGAGCGUGGUUCUGUGCAUUGGAGUUGUUAACGAUGAUUAUCACAGCACCUCCAGUUUAUUCAGCUCUUCUUGUGUUUUUCGUGAUUACUUUCUGUGGGGCCCCAAGUGGAGAAACCUCUAUGGGCAUAAGAGUAACAUGCUAAGCUUGGGCUUAAAGAAAACACACACAUUGCGGUUAGAAGCUAAGAUGGCACCUGCAGGGAGGAGUGAAGGCAUGGACUAUAUUGUUUGUCAAAAUUUUUGAUUGGCCCUCUUGAUUUCCGUGCUCGUGGACAACGCGUGAUCACCAUAGACCCCUGUCAUGAUGUAAGCGCAUGGUAAUCUGACCUUUAACUUGAUUGGUAAAACUAUGGAAAGUCUCUCACAAAAACCCCCCUGCUUGCCUUUAUAAACCAAGAGCUUAUGACAAUAAAGCCGAACUGCUCAGACAGGACCCCUGUCGCGUCUGAUUGUCUCUCGCUCGCUGGGGGGCUGGGUUGGUGGACAGCAGGCUCACCUCUCCUCGGGACUCCUCGGCCUUGCUGAGGGAAGUUCCACGGCCUCUCUCUUUGCGGCACACCCCCCGCAACUUUAUAGAUCCAGUUUCUUUAAACAAUCCCCUCUCCCCCAAAUUCUCCACCUCACCUCAGUCUUUCUCUACAACCAUUUCUUUAGCCUCAGAAGGAUCACUCAUAGCGUUUAG